rnacentral:rRNA from 1 species
UCCGUAGGCGGUGUGGCAAGUCGGUAGUGAAAUCUCUCGGCUUAACUGAGAGGCUGCUGCCGAAACUGCCAUGCUCGAGUGCGAGAGAGGCGAGUGGAAUUGCGGGUGUAGCGGUGAAAUGCGUAGAUAUCCGCAGGAACAUCCGAGGCGAAAGCGGCUCGCUGGAUCACAACUGACGCUGAGGGACGAAAGCUAGGGGAGCAAACAGGAUUAGAUACCCUGGUAGUCCUAGCCCUAAACCAUCAGGACUUGGGGUUUGCCCUGUACGGGGCAAGUCCCGGAGCUAACGCGUUAAGUCCUGCGCCUGGGGAGUACGGUCGCAAGGCUGAA